UCCCUUAUCAGGCCCAGCGCUCAUCGGACUGCAAAUCCGAAUUUGGGUAUGAUUACCCCUGGGCUU
rnacentral:tRNA from 1 species